AUGGAAGUGGAGCAUUAUAGCUGUGUUCACUACAGUUAUGAAACAAACACCAGGGAUGGGCAGGUUGUUAAUCAACUUUUUGUUAAUUUUCAGUUGACAGAAGCCCAGGUACAAGCUCUGUGCAACAUGAUGAAAAAAUGGAAGAACCCUUAGACAGUUUGGCAGCACACACUUCAGAAACCGUCAUGAUGAAAACAAAAUGAUGAAAGCACAAGUUAACUUGAGCUGUGUUCAGAGAAGCUGCUGUUUUCAAGUCUGUUCUUACUGGCGUCA
rnacentral:lncRNA from 1 species